UUUUGAUACUUAAGUAUAUUUAAAACCAAAUACUUUUAGACUUACUCAAGUAGUAUUUUACUGUGUGACUUUCAUUUUUACUUGAGUCAUUUUCUGUUAAGGUAUCUUUACUUUUACUCAAGUAUGCUCAUAUCUCACCCUCCACUCCCCACUCCCUCCCACUGGCAUAUGGUUUUCUACCACUGUUUGGUUCUCUUCUUUGUGUUGUAUCCUGACUAUACCGUCACUGUGCUGUGUAAUGUUUCCCUCUGCUGGACAUCACACACACACACGAAAACGCUCAUAAGAAAACAUACAUUUAAUAUUGACAAACUUACCAAAAUACACACACUUUUGGAUGUACAUACACAUACUCACCCAACGAAACAAACAAACACACACACUCACUUACCUCUCCUAAUCUCUAGGCUAUACCUCCCCUCUUUUCCACUUUCUUACACUUAAACCUAUUUGUAUGGUUUUGUAAAUAGUAAUUUUUUGUAAUGAGAAUGUGAUUUUUACACAGACACCCCACUGCUCUCCUUACAUUAAGUUGUUAUGGAGAAAUGGGAACAUUUAAUUGUAUCAACUUUAUUACUGAAGACAAGAGUGUAUGUAAAGGUUCUGGUCCACUCUAAAUCAGGCCUGGAUUGGACCUCUCCUCGUCCCAAACUGGCAGCCAUUCUGCAUCAAACCAGGUGUCCUCCCGGACCAAGGUUGGAGUCAACCAAAGAUGACUCGUGGUUUUAUGCUAACAAUAGAAUCCUCUCAUGGUUUAGUUUCUCUUGUAAUAGUUCACCUGCCAGCCCAUAUUGGGCCAGUAACCAAAAUGUUGCUGAAUUGAAUCCCCGAGCUGACAAAGUAAAAAUCUGUGGUUCUGCCCCUGAGCAAGGCAGUUAACCCACUCUUCCUCGGGCAACGAUGACAUCGAUUAAGGCAGCCCCCCCGUGCCUCUCUGAUUCAGAGGGUUUGGGUUGAAUGCAUUCAGCAGUACAGAUGACUAGGUAUCCCCCUGUGAAUGCAUUCGGCAGUACAGCUGACUAGGUGUCCCCCUGUGAAUGCAUUCGGCAGUACAGCUGACUAGGUGUCCCCCUGUGAAUGCAUUCAGCAGUACAGCUGACUAGGUAUCCCCCUGUGAAUGCAUUCGGCAGUACAGCUGACUAGGUGUCCCCCUGUGAAUGCAUUCGGCAGUACAGCUGACUAGGUGUCCCCCUGUGAAUGCAUUCAGCAGUACAGAUGACUAGGUGUCCCCCUGUGAAUGCAUUCGGCAGUACAGCUGACUAGGUGUCCCCCUGUGAAUGCAUUCGGCAGUACAGCUGACUAGGUGUCCCCCUGUGAAUGCAUUCAGCAGUACAGAUGACUAGGUGUCCCCCUGUGAAUGCAUUCAGCAGUACAGCUGACUAGGUAUCCCCCUGUGAAUGCAUUCAGCAGUACAGCUGACUAGGUGUCCCCCUGUGAAUGCAUUCAGCAGUACAGCUGACUAGGUGUCCCCCUGUGAAUGCAUUCAGCAGUACAGCUGACUAGGUGUCCCCCUGUGAAUGCAUUCAGCAGUACAGCUGACUAGGUGUCCCCCUGUGAAUGCAUUCAGCAGUACAGCUGACUAGGUGUCCCCCAUUCCCUAUACACCAAAGUCAGUGAAUUAGGACAAAGUGCACUGUAUACUACUAUCACAAUCUUGACGGGGUCUGUUGCUUUUACAUUUUAGUCAUUUAGCAGACGCUUUUAUCCAGAGCGACUUACAGAAGCAAUUGUGGUUAAGUGCCUUGCUCAAGGGCACCUUGUCAUCUCUGGGAUUCGAACCAGUGACCUUUCAGUUACUGGCCCAGCGCUCUUAACUGCUAGGCCAAAAAUGACAGCAGCUACAAAAUACUACACAGAUGGCUUGAUUAUGCUUUUGGUCAGAAUGUGUGUUCCUUGGUGCACAUACAAUACAAUACAUCUGCAGUUUGAUUUAGUUAUAUUUUAAAAUAAUAAGACGAUAAAUAAUGCAGUAACAAAAGAAAAGUGUUCUGAGUUUUAACACUUCAUUUCAUCUUGUUACAACGUACCUUCUGUUUUGUAAGGAUUUGUCUGAUGAGAACAAUAAAUGGAUAUUGCAAUAAAAA